rnacentral:rRNA from 1 species
UACGUAUGGUGCGAGCGUUAUCCGGAUUUACUGGGUGUAAAGGGAGCGCAGGCGGCACGGCAAGCCUGAUGUGAAAGCCCGCGGCCCAACCGCGGGACUGCAUUGGGAGCUACCGGGCUGGAGUGCCGGAGAGGUAGGCGGAAUUCCUAGUGUAGCGGUGAAAUGCGUAGAUAUCAGGAGGAACACCGGUGGCGAAGGCGGCCUGCUGGACUGCAACUGACGUUGAGGCCCGAAAGCGUGGGGAGCAAACAGG